GGUUUAUGAUGAUAAUCCAAAGGCUUGUUUCUCAAAACAUUUGCGUUGGCCGCUUAAGAGCUUUCGCCAGGGCUUGAGAGCUUGUCUCGCUUCAUUCCUUCCUUGGAUGUCUGAGACC